ACCUACGGGGGGCAGCAGUGAGGAGUAUUGGUCAAUGGUCGGGAGACUGAACCAGCCAAGCCGCGUGAGGGAGGAAGGUACAGAGUAUCGUAAACCUCUUUUGUCAGGGAACAAAGGCGAGGACGUGUCCCCGGAUGAGUGUACCUGAAGAAAAAGCAUCGGCUAACUCCGUGCCAGCAGCCGCGGUAAUACGGAGGAUGCGAGCGUUAUCCGGAUUUAUUGGGUUUAAAGGGUGCGCAGGCGGUCUGUUAAGUCAGCGGUCAAAGCCCGGGGCUCAACCCCGGCCCGCCGUUGAAACUGGCAGU
rnacentral:rRNA from 1 species